CUCCUGAUAGCUCAGUUGGUAGAGCGUUGGACUGUAAUUGUAAAAGAUAUAUGCCAUCCACAGGUCGUGUGUUCGACUCACACUCAGGAGA